GAAGGACUGCACAUGCUGGUGAACUUGACCAGAAUGCAUGCACAUUCAGGCGCUUCUCCUUUAGGGGUGAAAGUGGACCAGAGAUGUGUAAUAUGCAUGUUCUCCAGUUUCCAUGUUGCUGGUAAGCUCAAGGAGAUGAUUUUUGCAAAGCUGUGAUUUAGUAAAGAAGUAAAAACCCUUGACGCUUAUUUAACCAUUAAGGCAACUUCAUUAGAUCAACUUCACCAUUCCUCAACACAACACUGAGGUGGACAAGUCUCUAGAACUGCUGGCAUGGACAUUGGUGAAGUCACCAGGCCAACAGUGGAAGCCAAUACAUUUGUGUCCUUGGUUGACCAUCACGAAAUGGAGCAAGAACUGAGACAUGACUUGACCUGUAGCUCUUUCGACAUAUUGUUCUCAGUUACAUUUAAUAAAAGAACACCUCAUUGAUUAUGCCAUCUACUUCAGUGCACUGGGGGAUGUUGACUGAUACAGAUUGGACCUCGCUUCAACACCCCUCCACCAAUCUGAUUUGAUGCGACUGCUGGUUCUGCAUUACUUGUGUGGGCAAUCCAUCCACAAAGGAUGAUCACAAUUGUUUGACUUAUUUCAAUUGCUGUAAUGCAGAAGUGUCCAAGCUCUAUCCUGGAGGGUCGGUGUCCUGCAGAAUUUAGCUCUAACCCUAUUCAAACACCUGAACCAGCUAAUUGGUAUCUUACUAGAUAUUUCCUAGCAGGUGUUGGAGCUAAACUCAGCAGGACUCCUGUACUGAGGACACCUAUGCUGUAAUGAGUCUCAACUCCAUUCCUGGAGGGCUGCUAUGUUGCACAGUUUUGCUCCAACGCUGAUCUCAUUACACCUUGAUGUGUUUGAUUUAAAGUUGGAGCAAAACUGUGCAGUGCUGCAGCCCUCCAGGAAUGGAGUUUGAGAUUUGUGCUGUAAUAAAGCAUCUUGUAUGGGUUUUUUUUUCUCAACUGUUUUCAAACUAAAUAUCCAAUCUUAAAUUUCACAUGUUAAAGUUAAACAAAAUCAAUACUGAACAUUAUAAAACAAUUUUUUUUUUUUUAAAAUACAAUUGACUAAAGGUGAUUAAAUUACAUUUAAAUUACAUUACACUUCUAAUUACAACAGUAAAGAAAUAAAUUUUAACUCUGCAUUUAAAAAUACUUUUAACAAAUCUAUUUAGAACUUAGUAUUUAUAACUUUUCUUUUAAACUUUUAAACUGAAAAUAACUUUUCCCCUCUCUAAUAAACCAGAAAUUUCUACAAGCGAUAUGAAUCAAUAUGUCUGCUAUUAAACUGCA
rnacentral:lncRNA from 1 species